GACGAACGCUGGCGGCGUGCCUAAUACAUGCAAGUAGAACGCACAGUUUAUACCGUAGCUUGCUACACCAUAAACUGUGAGUUGUGAACGGGUGAGUAACGCGUAGGUAACCUGCCUGGUAGCGGGGGAUAACUAUUGGAAACGAUAGCUAAUACCGCAUAAUAUUAAUUAUUGCAUGAUAAUUGAUUGAAAGAUGCAAUUGCAUCACUACCAGAUGGACCUGCGUUGUAUUAGCUAGUAGGUGAGGUAACGGCUCACCUAGGCGACGAUACAUAGCCGACCUGAGAGGGUGAUCGGCCACACUGGGACUGAGACACGGCCCAGACUCCUACGGGAGGCAGCAGUAGGGAAUCUUCGGCAAUGGACGAAAGUCUGACCGAGCAACGCCGCGUGAGUGAAGAAGGUUUUCGGAUCGUAAAGCUCUGUUGUAAGAGAAGAACGGGUGUGAGAGUGGAAAGUUCACACUGUGACGGUAUCUUACCAGAAAGGGACGGCUAACUACGUG
rnacentral:rRNA from 1 species